UAGACUUGCCACAAGUCGACCAUGGGGGAGGGAGGGCGCGGGGGAGAGAAGGCGCGACCCGAGCGACGAAGUCGCGAGUGGUCGACUUGUGUCCCUUGCAGGAAUUUAAAUCGCAUUAAAAAUUUUGGCGCGAAUAAUUUUGACAUAAAAUGGGUGCGUACAUUUUAUACAAUUACUUCACCGCGCCGACAAUUGGUCUACAAAAACACAAAAACAUUCUCAAGAAUUGAUAUUUCUUUGUCCUCGAAUGAAACAGUUUCCAACGAGUGUGGAAACGAAAUAACUUACCUAAGUAAGCGCCGAAAGCUGUUCAAUGUAUCAACAAAAACGAGUGCAUGUAAAAACUUAUUGAGUCUGGACAGUUGUUUGUCUAACAAUGUGUGCCGUA
rnacentral:lncRNA from 1 species